rnacentral:rRNA from 1 species
AGUGAACGCUGGCGGUAGGCCUAACACAUGCAAGUCGAACGGCAGCACAGUAAGAGCUUGCUCUUACGGGUGGCGAGUGGCGGACGUGUGAGGAAUACAUCGUAAUCUACUUUUUCGGGGGGGAUAACGUAGGGAAACUUACGCUAAUACCGCAUACGACCUACGGUUGAAAGCAGUGGAUCUUCUGACCUUGCGCGAUUGAAUGAGCCGAUGUCGGAUUAGCUAGUUGGCGGGGUAAUGGCCCACCAAGGCGACGAUCCGUAGCUGGUCUGAGAGGAUGAUCAGCCACACUGGAACUGAGACACGGUCCAGACUCCUAAGGGAGGCAGCAGUGGGGAAUAUUGGACAAUGGGCGCAAGCCUGAUCCAGCCAUACCGCGUGGGUGAAGAAGGCCUUCGGGUUGUAAAGCCCUUUUGUUGGGAAAGAAAAGCAGCAGGUUAAUACCCCGCUGUUCUGACGGUACCCAAAGAAUAAGCACCGGCUAACUUCGUG